rnacentral:rRNA from 1 species
GAUGAACGCUGGCGGCGUGCUUAACACAUGCAAGUCGAACGGACUUAUAUUGAAACCUAGUGAUGUAUGAGUUAGUGGCGGACGGGUGAGUAACGCGUGGAAAACCUGCCGUAUACUGGGGGAUAACACUUAGAAAUAGGUGCUAAUACCGCAUAAGCGCACAGCUUCGCAUGAAGCAGUGUGAAAAACUCUGGUGGUAUACGAUGGUUCCGCGUCUGAUUAGCUUGUUGGCGGGGUAAAGGCCCACCAAGGCGACGAUCAGUAGCCGGCCUGAGAGGGUGAACGGCCACAUUGGGACUGAGACACGGCCCAAACUCCUACGGGAGGCUG